UAGAGGAAGUAAAAGUCGUAACAAGGUUUCCGUAGGUGAACCUGCGGAAGGAUCAACCCCUGUGGGUAUAGUGAGAUGGUUUUUCCAACGCAACCCGUGCGCACAUCCAUUGGACUGGAUGCACGGGUGUGUGUGGUCUUCUUGGUGGGGAGGCCUGGUUAGGGCCUGACUUGGUGGGGGUGACUAGGCUGGACGGUGUACUGACAAAGCCGUUUUUCCAGUUAUAGAGCCGUUCCGGUCGGGCCCAAGGGCAUGUCCAGUCCCAUUGGUGGUGGACGCCCCUCCGUGGGCUCUGAGGCCUUGUCACCCUCAGUGUCCGUCGGAGUCUACAAAGGGGCACUUGUGCCCCGGCGUAACGUGGAUGUGUACAUACAUAUUCCGGUUGGCCUUGUGCCAACAACAUGCCAGUGAAGACGUGUCCUUGUCCACUCCAACGUUUUUACCUACGGGACAAGGCCUAGCUGGUCCGCAGGCGGCGGGAUGACUUGGGUUGGAAGAGGGGGCCGAUGUGUACACAAUGCCCUCCUUCCGUUGUGCCCAAUCGUCUGAAGUUAUGGGCCUCGACGAAUUGAUGUAAGUCGAGGGGGUCAUAUCUGUUUUUGGCCCGGCAUGGACCUAGACCUACACGCGGUGCCCCUGUUCUUGACUGAUUAGGUCUAUAACAUCAAGCUGAGUUUUCCAAUGGGUUUUUAAAUAACUCUCAACAAUGGAUCUCUAGGCUCUUGCAUCGAUGAAGAACGCAGUGAACUGCGAUAACUGGUGUGAGUUGCAUGGCACUUCUAAUCUAACACCAAGCGAAUCAUCGAGUCUUUGAACGCA
rnacentral:misc_RNA from 1 species